AUAAAUGGCCGCAGUACCUUGACUGUGCUAAGGUAGCAUAAUCAAUUGGCUUUUAAUUGAAGUCUAGAAUGAAUGGGAUAAUGGAAUUUAGCUGUCUUGAUUUUUUUAAUAAAAAUUUAUUUAUAAGGUGAAAAUACCUUAAAUUAUAAUAAAGACGAGAAGACCCUAUGAAUUUUUAAAUUUUUUUUGUUGGGGCGACAGUUUAAAAUAUAAAUCUUAAAUUUUAAUUAUAUAACGAUUUUUUUAAUAAAAAUUAAAUUACCUUAGGGAUAACAGCAUUAUUAUUUAAAUAGUUUGUGACCUCGAUGUUGGACUAGGAACUAAAAGGCUAACCGUCUUU
rnacentral:rRNA from 1 species